AGAUUGAACGCUGGCGGCAGGCCUAACACAUGCAAGUCGAGCGGCAGCACGGGUACUUGUACCUGGUGGCGAGCGGCGGACGGGUGAGUAAUGCCUAGGAAUCUGCCUGGUAGUGGGGGAUAACGCUCGGAAACGGACGCUAAUACCGCAUACGUCCUACGGGAGAAAGCAGGGGACCUUCGGGCCUUGCGCUAUCAGAUGAGCCUAGGUCGGAUUAGCUAGUUGGUGAGGUAAUGGCUCACCAAGGCGACGAUCCGUAACUGGUCUGAGAGGAUGAUCAGUCACACUGGAACUGAGACACGGUCCAGACUCCUACGGGAGGCAACAGUGGGGAAUAUUGGACAAUGGGCGAAAGCCUGAUCCAGCCAUGCCGCGUGUGUGAAGAAGGUCUUCGGAUUUGAAAGCACGUUUAAGUUGGGAGAAGGCAGGUUACCUAAUACGAUCUGUUUUGACGUUACCGACAGAAUAAGCACCGGCUAACUCUGUGCCAGCCAGU
rnacentral:rRNA from 1 species